GACGUAGGGCGCAAGCGUUGUCCGGAUUUAUUGGGCGUAAAGAGCUCGUAGGCGGCCUGUUGCGUCGACUGUGAAAACUCACGGCUUAACCGUGGAACUGCAGUCGAUACGGGCAGGCUAGAGUUCGGUAGGGGAGACUGGAAUUCCUGGUGUAGCGGUGAAAUGCGCAGAUAUCAGGAAGAACACCCGUGGCGAAAGCGGCUCUCUGGAACGGUACUGACGCUGAGACGCGAAAGCGUGGGGAGCGAACAGG
rnacentral:rRNA from 1 species